GUCUGCUUGGCUCAGUUGGUUAGAGCGUUGGUCUCAUAAUCCAAAGGUCGUGAGUUCGAACCUCACAGCGGACA